CAGGCCACUGCGCAUGCGGACAGCCCACUUCCAAGGGAAGAAACAGGGCAGGAGAGAUGCAACCGCCUGGAAACAUGACCACGUAUGAAACACCAAGCCAAAGCCUAAAACCUGUAUAGAAGCUUCUCUGCCUAAUUCUCAAAUUCUGAACUUCCUGGAUGACAGAAUACCAGAGCAAAAGCCGGUCUGUGCUGCCUGCAACCAAGAGGGUCAUUCGAGAUCGUACGUCUACUAUCACCUGCACUAGACAGAUUUAAGAAUAGCCUUUGGAAUAUAGCCUGUUUGGAAGUGGAAACAUUUGCGCAUCAGAUAUAUCACACUGUUGACUGGAAGAACUCAGUAGGCCUUUAGAGUACCGAACACUCCAGUGGCAUGAACAUAGAAAUCAAUGAAGGUAGUGGUGAUGGCUGCCAAUUCUUAACUCUCCUUGCCUGUACUUUGCCCAGUAUUUCAGCCUCCAAGUGGACAAGAAAUCUCUCCAUAAGUAGCUGGAAGAACUUGUGUAUAUGGUUGUCAGCUGAGGUCCCUGCAAAAGAUAUAUGCACGUCUUAACCCCAGAACCUGUGACUAUGACCUUACAGGAGAAUGAUCUAAGAAAACGAUCUUAGAAGAUGUCAUGAGGUUUGUGAUCUUGAGAUGAGAUCAUCCUGGAUUAUCUGAGUGGGUCCUAAAUCCAAUGGCAGAUGUCCUUAUACAUUUACAAGACCAAAGGAGAAGACACAAACGCAGCAGAGAAGGUGAUGUGAGGACAGAAGCAGAGAUUGGAAUUAUGCAGCCACAAGCCAAGGAAUCUCCAGAGCCACUAGAAACUGAAAGAGACCAGGGAAGACCCUCUCCUGGAGCCUUCAGAGGCAUGUGGCACUGCUGAUACCGUGAUUUCCAAUGUCCAGCCUCCAGAACUGUGAGAGAAUAAAUGUGAAUUGUUUUAAGCCACCAAGUUUAUGGAGAUUUGUUAUGGCAGCCCUAGAAAUACUACACAUUCUAGGGGUAUUCCUGCAGGAAUGGGGCGAACACUCCCAACAAUCCAUUCCAACACUUCUCCACAUGGCUUAGAAAUAGGGGAAACCGUCUGGAGAUGGCAGCCACUUAGACUGCUACAUACUUAACAACUCUACCCUAGUAAAAAAAUGUAUUAAUUUCCCUUCAAUCCAUUAAUGAAUUAGAAUACAGAUGCCUUCAGAGAUGACUGUUAGACUAAAUUUGC